GGGUCUUAGGAUACUUGGAUUAAGCGUUCUUGGGUUUGAAUAGUACUGGGUUGGGUGACCUCCCGGAAAGUUCAAAUUCAAGAGCUU
rnacentral:rRNA from 1 species